CAUGCCUAUGAGGCUAUGAGGAAGCCUAUAAUGAGACAAUGAGGAAGCCUGUAAGGAGGCUAUGAGGAAGCCUAGUAGUGUUGAUGUUGAAUUGGUGUUGGAAUGAAUUUGUAUGAAAUUUGACAGUUUAUCCCCAGAAAUUCUUGGGGGAUGAGUGAAAUUUUUGAAACAACCAGUGAUAAAAUUUCAUAAAUGGCCAUAACACAGAUGGUAACAGCUGAGUGUCCCCAAGGAUUUGUGAGGUAAGGGAGGGGGUACCUUCAAUAAAGCCAUG
rnacentral:lncRNA from 1 species